UACAGAGGUCCCAAGCGUUGUUCGGAUUCACUGGGCGUAAAGGGUGCGUAGGUGGUGAGGUAAGUCGGAUGUGAAAGCUCGGAGCUCAACUCCGAAAUGGCAUUGGAAACUACCUUGCUCGAGGGUUGGAGGGGGGACUGGAAUGCUUGGUGUAGCAGUGAAAUGCGUAGAGAUCAUGAGGAAGACCAGUGGCGAAGGCGGGUCUCUGGACAGUUCCUGACACUGAGACACGAAGGCCCAGGGGAGCAAACGGG
rnacentral:rRNA from 1 species